UGGACGCAGGGAACCGUAGUCCAAAAGGUCUGGCCUGGACAGAGAACGGGAAGGGCGCCUCACCAGCAGGAACUGAGUGCUUUCCUUCAGCUCCAACAGGGCCAGCUAUAAAUCCAGAUUCCCAAGCUCCACCCAGUCAGACCCACUUGGACCAGAGUCCAGGAUUUGCACUUGAACACCACCUCAGUGGCUUCUCCAAGGCCCAUCGGAUUCUUGUAGUUCCAUGAGAUUGUAAGCACAGGACUUCAGGCCUUUGCACGGUCAUCCCUGCUGUCUGAAAGGAUUCCCAGAUAUCUGCAUGGCUAUUCACCCCUCUGCCUUUAAGCCUUCACUCAGAUGUUGCCUAGCCUGACUACUGUAUUUAACAUAGACACUUAAGGACUAUUUCUCCCACCCAAAUACACACUCUCCAUUCCCUUGGCCUGCUCAAGUGAGGAUCUUGGCUUUGUUUUCUGA